AUGCACGCACUCAUGAAGAAGCAUUACGGCGAAGCGGAGCUACGAGCCAACGGCGAACCGAACUGGUCGAGGAUAGCAGAAACACCAAACAGAGUUUGCGUGCCAAAACAGCAGGGUACCCAAUGCAGACACUUCAUGGUUCAAUUUGCAAAAUACUGGAAUGGCAUUGAUCUCAUAAAAGAUGAUGAGGAUUUCGAUCAAAGCAACGUAGAUGCCGAGUGGAAACCAGAGUUCCUUUUUACAGCCAUAUUUGGUGAAACAAACCAAGUAAAGUGCGAGAAACUACCUGGAAGAAUCAAAGAAUUCAAACCAGAAACUUCAAAGUUCUUUUCCACCAACAAAGUUGGACAAAGGCCAAAAAUUUGUUUCUCACUAACCGUGACCUCCAAAAUUAUUUAA
rnacentral:rRNA from 1 species